rnacentral:rRNA from 1 species
GACAGAGGGUGCAAACGUUGUUCGGAAUUACUGGGCGUAAAGGGCUCGUAGGCGGCCAACUAAGUCAGACGUGAAAUCCCUCAGCUUAACUGGGGAACUGCGUCUGAUACUGGAUGGCUUGGAUUUGGGAGAGGGAUGCGGAAUUCCAGGUGUAGCGGUGAAAUGCGUAGAUAUCUGGAGGAACACCGGUGGCGAAGGCGGCAUCCUGGACCAAUAUUGACGCUGAGGAGCGAAAGCCAGGGGAGCAAACGGG